rnacentral:rRNA from 1 species
UACGUAGGGCGCAAGCGUUAAUCGGAAUUACUGGGCGUAAAGCGUGCGCAGGCGGUUUUGUAAGUCUGUCGUGAAAUCCCCGGGCUCAACCUGGGAAUUGCGAUGGAGACUGCAAGGCUAGAAUCUGGCAGAGGGGGGUAGAAUUCCACGUGUAGCAGUGAAAUGCGUAGAGAUGUGGAGGAACACCGAUGGCGAAGGCAGCCCCCUGGGUCAAGAUUGACGCUCAUGCACGAAAGCGUGGGGAGCAAACG